rnacentral:rRNA from 1 species
UACAACUUUUGACAACGGAUCUCUUGGUUCUCCCAUCGAUGAAGAACGCAGCGAAAUGCGAUAAGUAAUGUGAAUUGCAGAAUUCAGUGAAUCAUCGAAUCUUUGAACGCACCUUGCGCUCGUUGGUAUUCCGACGACGAUGCCUGUUUGAGUGUCAU